CAGCUAAAUUGCCCGGCGACGGUAGAAGAGGAGCAGUAGAGCAAAGUAAUAUUGUGAGAAGUAGGAAUUGCAUCGAAGAGAUUGUAAUCGAUUGUGGUGUUUAUGAAUUUCUUAGGGCAGAGCGUACCCAUAUAAUCGGUUCUGGCGAUGGCCAAUCGGAGUGCCGGAUUGCCGCAUUCGGGAGGUCUUCCGACGCCCCAGAAGGGGAAGCCGACAUCGGUGAUAUCGCCGCAGUUGAAGAGGUUGCUGCAGGAGCUGAAUAAAUCUAAGGAGUUUCCAAAGACGAAGGGAAGGGAAAAGGCAAAGAAAAGAAGGAAUGAGGAAAUUGGGGAAUCCAUUGAAGAACAGAGAAGAGGGAAUUUUGAUCAGAUGGGUGGUUGUUCCAUUGGAGAAGAGAAGGGGAUGAGGUAUUGCCUAUUGGUAUUGGACUCUAUGAAAGUUGACUUGGUGUAUUGCAUACAAAGUUGGGAAAAAUUUUAAAAAGAAUUUUUAACCUAAGGAGAAUUUGGGUCUUUGAAUGGGUUUAUGUGUUUUGUGGAAAUUUGAAGUUUAAUCGUAUUUGGAGGAAAUUGAAAUUGGUGUGGUGUGGGGAAAUUUGUAUUUUUAAUUGAAAAAAAUGUGGGCAUGUUGACUUGUGUUUUGGUGGUGGUUUAUGUUAAGGGAAGAAGAGAUGGAAAGUUUUUAUUGCAAUUUGUAACCUAUUAAGAGAAUGUGAAGGAUUCAACGGCUUGAUUAUGGCA